rnacentral:lncRNA from 1 species
CCGGGCUCGCGGCGGCGGCGGCGGCGGCGGCGGCGGCGGCGGCGGGACUGGCCCUGCGCCCGGGCACCGCCUGCGCUGCGCCGCCCGGCCUCACUCCGCGGCCCGCCAGGACCCGGCCCCGGUGAACGGGCUCGGGGUGCCGAGGUCCGGCUGCGGGGCCGGGAAGCCACCUCCACCUUGCCGUCUGUUACGACCCCCGAGGCGCAAGGCUGAGCCCCAUCUCGCUAUCCGGGUCCGGAGGGGUUCACCUUAGAAGGAUUUUUUGAAGCUCUUGGCGCUGGCUCUAAAAGAACCCACUUCCUUGCGGAUUUCAGGAGUCAAGAAUCCUUAAACGGAGCCAAUUUGCUUUGUAAAGCCAAUUGCCCAAGUGACUUGAGUUCGAAAGGAGAUACUUCCUGGACAACUGCUAUAAAAACAACAACAAAUACUUUUAUUAAUUCGGGGAGCCUGGUCACCAACUGGAUGCUCAGAUGGAACCCUGAGCAGCCCAUGUACAUGGAAGAUCUUUAUUGCAGAGAUCUUCAAACCAGCUAGUGUGCAUUUACUCCUGCCUCUCCAUGCCUGAAGGAAGGAAUGAAGAGGUCUCUGCUGUCCAUCUGAGCCAGUGACUGGGCUGUCUCUACCAGGCCAGAAUUUGGGGCAGGCAAGAUUUUCAGCAUCCCUAAAAUCACACUAAGAAGAUAAACAUGGAAACAGCUUGGAGCUGCCCUACCCAUAGUGAGGUGGUACUGACUGGAAGACAGCUUAAACGAUUUGGAGAAAAGUGGAAUACAUUAAUCUCAGAAAACUCUACCACCUGUAGAAAGAGAGCUAAAAUGGAGACAACCACAGGCAGUCUAAGAUACGCUGAACUACUACAGAAAAUAAUGCAGCAUGAAGGAAUGCUGGAAGGUAUGGGGUCAGAGCAAGCUGAUGGAGGGUCCUUCAUUUCCAAGCCACGAGUACAGCAGGAUGUAAGGCUUAGUUCAUAAGAACAUCUCCUGAAAGACAAUCUCUAUAAAAACUGUUUCAAUAGAAAGAAUGCAAGAUGUAACUGUUUAAUAAUAGGACUGAUAUUUUAAAAAACAAAUGAACGUAAUAGAAGACUAGAUGGAUGUGCUUCUCAAAGUCCUCUCUGUGGGAGGCUUCAUCCUCACUCUAGAUGUGUUGCCUGUAGCAGCUGUUAUUGAUUACCCGCCCAUAGCCUAUCCAUACUUACUCAUCAUUCCUUUACCUACCAGUGGCAUCCUAUUGGAAGCACCUGCGACUUUCUUAGGGCUUUCUCUUGGCCAAGCAUUGGAAGGCCAGCAGUAUUGAAAAGUUAAUAGUCUUGGAAGCACUGGCCCUCAACUAAUGACAAAGAAAAAAUAUAAGAUAAAUUCCCCAGCUUCCUUGCCUCCUGAAUGGGUCAAGUCUGUGGUGUGUUCUACCCGUUUUUCAGAGGUCCCAUGUUUUAAACCCUAGCUGCUCAAGGCAAUUUCCUGAUCAUUGAUGUACUCUCUAUUGGCUAAUUUUUAGAUAAUAUGGAAUAUGCUCAAAAUAGGAUACUCAAAGAAAAAAUCAGAUGCCAAAAUUAUGUACACCGAAUGAGUUCAAUUCUGUAUAAGUGUGGACAUACACACAUCAAAAGAAAUAUGGAACAAAAGAUACUAAAUGUUUAUAGUGGUUAUUUCUGGGUGUUGAAAUUUUAAGUGAUUUUCCUUUUCUUC